GAUGAACGCUAGCUACAGGCUUAACACAUGCGAGUCGAGGGGCAGCAUGAUUGAAGCUUGCUUCCAUCGAUGGCGACCGGCGCACGGGUGAGUAACACGUAUCCAACCUGCCGAUAACUCGGGGAUAGCCUUUCGAAAGAAAGAUUAAUACCCGAUAGUAUAGUAUUUCCGCAUGGUUUCACUAUUAAAGAACUUCGGUUAUCGAUGGGGAUGCGUUCCAUUAGAUAGUUGGCGGGGUAACGGCCCACCAAGUCAACGAUGGAUAGGGGUUCUGAGAGGAAGGUCCCCCACAUUGGAACUGAGACACAGUCCAAACUCCGACGGGAGGCAGCAGUGUGGAAUAUUAGGCAAGGGACGAGAGUCUGAACCAGCCAAGUAGCGGGAAGGAUGACUGCCCUAGGGGAUGUAAACUUCUGGGAGACGAGAAUAAAGUGGUGUAUGCAUACUCCUUUGUAUGUACCGUAUGAAUAAGGAUCGGCUAACUCCGUG
rnacentral:rRNA from 1 species